rnacentral:SRP_RNA from 1 species
NNNNGCAAUCCGCUAUAGCAGGGGUGAUAUUGCGCCGAGGGUGUUGAUCUGCAAAGCUGCCCUUGAUAAGUGACGUUGAAAAUCUGGGUCUCAUGCGACGGGAAUCUGUGAACCGUGUCAGGUCGGGAACGAAGCAGCACUAAGCAGAACCUCCCGGGUGUUGUGAGGGUGCCUGGGUCGAGUUGGCUGUCAAGGUAACGUUUGUGGAGAUACAUUCGAAGCGCAAUGCACGA